CGGACGGGUGGAGUAACACGUGGGUAACCGUACCUAUAAGACUGUGACAACUUCGGGAAACCGGAGCUAAUACCGGAUAAGAUAUCGAACCGCAUGGCUCGAUAGUGAAAGAUGGUUUUGCUAUCACUUAUAGAUGGACCCGCGCCGUAUUAGCUAGUUGGUGAGGUAACGGCUCACCAAGGCAACGAUACGUAGCCGACCUGAGAGGGUGAUCGGCCACACUGGAACUGAGACACGGUCCAGACUCCUACGGGAGGCAGCAGCA
rnacentral:rRNA from 1 species